GACCUCGGAUCAGGUAGGGAUACCCGCUGAACUUAAGCAUAUCAAUAAGCGGAGGGAUC
rnacentral:rRNA from 1 species